rnacentral:rRNA from 1 species
CAGUAGCCGCGGUAAUACAGAGGGUGCGAGCGUUAAUCGGAUUUACUGGGCGUAAAGCGUGCGUAGGCGGCUUUUUAAGUCGGAUGUGAAAUCCCCGAGCUUAACUUGGGAAUUGCAUUUGAUACUGGGAAGCUAGAGUAUGGGAGAGGAUGGUAAAAUUCCAAGUGUAGCGGUGAAAUGCGUAGAGAUCUGGAGGAAUACCGAUGGCGAAGGCAGCCAUCUGGCCUAAUACUGACGCUGAGGUACGAAAGCAUGGGGAGCAAACAGGAUUAGAUACCCCCGUAGUCCCUGUCUCUUAUAC